CAAAAACUUUCCCGCCGCGCGGCCGUCAUCCCUCAAUCUCUGAUACAAAUCUAAUUUGGUAUAUCAAGGUGAUGGAACAAUUAUUGAUUGAAUGGACUGCAGCAAGUGCACGAGCGCUGGUUUAUAUUGAUCCUCUUUUUGGUUGGUUUAACAAUUGGUUUCCAUAGUAUAAAUUGAUGAGUUCUUCUGGCUAUUGAUGAUUGUUUCUGUUUGUUACGAUUGUCUAAGAAAUACCCUUCUGUAUCCAAGAUGCUAAGGAAUUAUAGGUUGGUUGGAUUUCCUUUUGUCAUACAGUUUCUAGUUAUUAUUAGAGUGUGGGUAUCAUUUUCUUUGUUUGUAUCUUUAUCUAGUUUUGGAGGAUUGAUAUGAUAGCCUUUUACUGUUCUUCAUAAGAGUACACCCGGAGCGGGUGAUCUUUGGUAUUUUCUCUGAAUUGGAAUAAAUGAGGGUGCUUUGGAACUUGGUUCCCUAGUUGAGUUGAGAGAGGAAGUUUAAUUCUUUUUUAUCAGACAAAGCUUAGUUUCCUCUAAUUUCUGGUGCAAAUUGAGAUCCAAAAUUACUGCCUUGGCCAGCACCGUUUGCCCGAUCUGAAUGACAAGAUUAACGUUCUCAUUACAAAGGCGUCACGUUGUGUGUUGCCACACACACACGGUCAUGCUCCUCGUAAACCAUGGCCUGGCCAUUGGCUAUAAAUAGUCUGUUACCAUUCCCUACGCUGAAAGUAAGAAUUCUAAUCUUCCAUCUUCCCCUUUAGGGUUUAUCCUUUCUUAAUCUCAUUGGAAUCAAGAGAGGACUGAGGCAUUAAAGGGGUGAGCAGUUUCGGUGGCUCUGAAGAGCCUGCAGGUUCUCUGUAGGUUGCCCUGCUUUUCAAGCCCUCUAGAUUCAAUUCCAAAUGGUAUCUUCGUAGUAGGGGUGAUGUGCCUUUAGACAUAAGUUGACCCAUUUAAAUUUUAUACAACUCAACUCAACGGCAAGAAAGACUUAAUUAUGAUUGAUCAUAAUAUAAUUGUUCAUGAGGGGAUUCAUUAUACGUAUUAGAGUAUAAGAUGACAUACUUUUUAUUUAGUCUUAGGUUUGCCCACUCUUUAAUGAUCAACUUUAUACCUAAUGUGAUUAUAUCUAAAGACAUAACAUGUCCUACAAUACAAGAGUACAAUUUCGAGUUAAUAGUGGAGUAAUUUAUUGUUGAUAGAUAAAGAUAUAAGAAUACAUUAUUUGAGCAAAAUCCCUUAUAUUUUACAUAUCGAUAUUGAAAGAGAGAGUUUCUAGUUCAAAUCAAUUAGUUCAAGGCUCCUAUGGUCGAGCCUAGUAGGGUAACCCACUCAAAGUCGAGCUAGGUAAUCAAGCCAAGGAUAGUUCAACUUUAAGGAUCACACUAAUUAUAAAAGGAAAAAGGAGUUUCACGUGCAGAUUAUGUUACACAACACUAAUACUCACUACUUUUAACACAAACUCUAGCUGACUUAGGCAUGAGAGUAUGAGUUUGACGAGUACCAAACAAGAGUAAAGUUUCUUUGGUUCACUGACACCACAACGCUCCUAGUCUUCAAUAGUGAAUUAGAGUAGUAUUCUUGGUUAUGGUCAUGAAUGCAAAUGUUGAAUAUGAUAUAGAAUUAAAGGUAUAAGAUCUAGGUCCCAACUCAUUGAUUUAAAUACAUGUCAUAAGACUUGGAAGAAUCCAAGACGGUAGAGAGAACAAGUGGGGGUGAUGAUGAGGAUGACAAGAACAAUAAUAAAGAGUGGUGGUAGAUGAAGAAGUGAAGGAGGGUUCCUUUGUGAGUCAUAAUGGUUUUGUUGGGCAAGAAAUUGUUGAUUGUUGAUGAUUUUUUUUUUUUUUGAAAGAAAGAAAAUGGUAGCUGGCUUUGAUGGAGCUGUGGACAUGUCCCUGCCCUUGUUUUUACACAGAGAACCCCAAUUCAAUUCAAUUCAAUUCAAUGCUGGAAGUGAUGAUGAUGAUGGUGGUGGUGAUGAAAUCUCCACACGCUUUGCCAAUCCAUAAUGACAAUGACACCACACCCACACCCACACCCACACCCCUUCUCUCCAAGUAAUUACAAAAUUUUCAAACUCUUUUGGAUAAUAUGCCCUUAACAUGUAAGUAGGUGUAUCAAUGAGUUAUAUUUAAUUCUCGUA